rnacentral:lncRNA from 1 species
AAGCAUUCCACUAAAGAAAAUAUGCCACCACUGCAUGAUUUUGAAAAGCAGACAGUUGCACAACUAUAAAUUUUCAUUUAAAAAAAUCAUUAAUGAUAAUGAUUUGAGGCAUCACACAACCUUCGGACCUAAAUAAAGCAGUAAAACAUUCACCAAGUAACGUAAGAGCAGUAUUUAGUGAUAGGAAUAGAGGGAAUGGCCUCAAGUUGUGCUAAUGGAGGUUCAGGUUGGAUAUUAGGAAAAAUUUCUUCUCUGAAAGAGUGGUCACAUGCUGGAAUAGGCUGCCCAGGGAGGUGGUUGAGUCACCAUUCCUGGAGGGUAUUCAAGAAAUGUUUAGAUGUGGUACUGAGGGACAUGGUUUAGUGGGGAAGUAUUGGUGGUAAGUGGACUGUUGGACUAGAUGAUCUUAGAGGUCUUUUCCAACCUUGGUGAUUCUAUGAUUCUAAGAGGUAGCUUGAUUUAUAAAUAAAAUAUCAGUACAGUACAUAAUGCAAAGUAAGGUCUGCAGGCAUGAUAUAAAAUCAGUCGAUUUUGAGAAAAGAUUACUUUCCAAACUCAAAGCAGCCAGCAAACAUGAAAAAAAUAUCUCUCGUACACAUAUGCUCUUUCCCUCUCUCUCUGAUUUUCAGACUAAAUUUGGCAGUGUGGUGUGUUUAAAACAGCAGUGUAGUUUUGGGGAGGAAUUUGGUUGCCCCUCUCACCAGUUGUUUCAGAUUUUAAUUUUUUUUACAGAAACCUAAAAUUGAGGCAACUGUGACAGAUACAUGAAAUGCUGUAUCUGCAUAACAGAUACCAGCUCCUAGCACUGAGCAUGACCUACCUCUACCAGAAGUUUUCUGUCAGUGUCACAACAUGUUGAAGUGGAGCAGAGGAUCCUUUCAGUGGAUGCUUAUAGUUUCACUCCAAAACCACGGCUUCCUGGAGAAAAGACUGAACUCAAAGUUCAGGCAGCCACUGGUGGAAGAAACAAAUUGCUCCUUGGGAAGAUGUCUGCCAUGCAUCCUAAGAACAGAGAUGGAAAAGCAGUUGAGGAGUUGUUCAUCAUGGAGCCUCCUGGCUCAUACCGGUCCUGAGAUGCCCCCUCCUCAUCCCAGAGAGGCUGUACUCAACUCCAACAGCAGCUGCAGUGCAGCAGGGAGAAUUUCCUGUUAG